CGGAGCAGAGACUCACCGCGGGCCCAGGCCCGGUUUGGCACGUGCCUCGGCCGUGAGGAGGAGGAGGGAUGCGAGCUUCGCUCCUCUACCCUGGCACCGUGAUUUCAACAGGGGAGUCACUGCGCCAGGGGUGCCAUCCUGGUGAAACUGUGAACCCAAGUGUCCUGCUCCCUGACAGUGCACAGCAGGCAGGUAUCCAGCCUGGCCACUCAGAUUCCUUGAGUUUGCAACUGGGCUCAAAGAGACAAAACCAAAUGGCUCCAUCAUCUUGGUUCUGGUGGGUGUGCCCUGAUGAGAAUGGGGCCCACAACUAAGACCCCGAAGCUCCUCCAUAUCCUUUGAACACCUUCGAAGUUAGCGGGAGGACAGUUCUGUCACUUGCAACAUUCCCACCUGGCUCUCUCACUCUAGUGCUGAUCACACUGGGUCCUGCUGUUCCCAAGUCUGCCUCCCCACCAGACUGAGCUCCAAGCUGCCAGGUGCCUCGUCUCCAUCUGGGUCCCAGUUCCCACCAUAGAGCUGGGCAUGGAGGACAGCCGAGGGAAGCUUCUUGGGAAAUGAAUUCUGGGAGUUCCCUCUGCCAAGGACCCACCAUGGUAAGAGCUUUAAGGUAUAGACCAAGAGAAAUGGCAGCAUCUGCACACACAAAAACUUGUACAGGAAUGUUCACAGCAGCAAUAACAGCCAAAAAGUGGGAACAAUCUUAAUGUCUACCAACUAACGAACAGGUAAGGAAAAUGUGGUCUAUCCAUGCAAUGGAAUAUUAUUCAGCCUUAAAAAAGUAUGAAGCACUGAUCUAUGCUACAACAUGCAUGAACCUUGAAGAUACUAUGCUAAGUGAAAGAAGCCAGGCACAGAGGAUCACAUACUAUGUGAUUCCAUAGCUAUGACAUGUCCAGAAUAGGCAAACAGAGAGAGACAGAGAGUAGACUGGUGAUUGCCAGGAGCAGCG